rfam:Lepisosteus oculatus linkage group LG6, whole genome shotgun sequence.
AAAGUGUCCUACGCCACUGCCAUGGACUGGUUCAUAGCAGUAUGCUUUGCCUUU